rnacentral:rRNA from 1 species
UACGAAGGGGGCUAGCGUUGUUCGGAAUUACUGGGCGUAAAGCGCGCGCAGGUGGUCUUUCAAGUCAGUGGUGAAAGCCCGGAGCUCAACUCCGGAAAUGCCAUUGAAACUGUAAGACUUGAGGAUGAGAGAGGUGAGUGGAAUUCCCAGUGUAGAGGUGAAAUGCGUAGAUAUCGGGAGGAACACCUGUGGCGAAAGCGGCGCACUGGACCACAACUGACGCUGAGGCGCGAAAGCUAGGGGAGCAAACAGG